CAUGGGCGGUUCGCGGUUGCUUGCCGGCCGCUUAUGGUUUCAGCGUGAAACAUCGAAGGUCGCUUAGCAUCACGUGACACGGUAGGGCGUCCGCAGGAAGGGCCUCCGUGUAAUAUAAAGCGGUGGAACAGAUGGAUAAAAAAACGUUCCGUCACCGCUUGGCGCCGAUGCAACAAACCGCCGCUACACCUCCGCGCUACGUGCCCGCCAACACCAACGGCUUUGGCCAACAACAGCUCGAAGAACACUCUGGCGACCGAGUCUGAAACGUGGGCCGCGGCGAAGGGUCUCCGCCGGCGCUUAACAAGCAACGUCUGCGAAGCAAGUAAAAAAAUAUAUAUAUGAAAGCUCAAUAAACGAGAAAGACUUUCAAAAA